rnacentral:miRNA from 1 species
UCAAGUUUGAUGACGAUUCCA